rnacentral:rRNA from 1 species
GAUGAACGCUGGCGGCGUGCCUAAUACAUGCGAGUCGAGCGAACAGAUGAGGAGCUUGCUCCUCUGACGUUAGCGGCGGACGGGUGAGUAACACGUGGAUAACCUACCUAUAAGACUGGGAUAACUUCGGGAAACCGGAGCUAAUACCGGAUAAUAUAUUGAACCGCAUGGUUCAAUAGUGAAAGACGGUUUUGCUGUCACUUAUAGAUGGAUCCGCGCCGCAUUAGCUAGUUGGUAAGGUAACGGCUUACCAAGGCAACGAUGCGUAGCCGACCUGAGAGGGUGAUCGGCCACACUGGAACUGAGACACGGUCCAGACUCCUACGGGAGGCAGCAGUAGGGAAUCUUCCGCAAUGGGCGAAAGCCUGACGGAGCAACGCCGCGUGAGUGAUGAAGGUCUUCGGAUCGUAAAACUCUGUUAUUAGGGAAGAACAAAUGUGUAAGUAACUAUGCACGUCUUGACGGUACCUAAUCAGAAAGCCACGGCUAACUACG